rnacentral:rRNA from 1 species
GAUGAACGCUGGCGGCGUGCCUAAUACAUGCAAGUCGAGCGAAAAGACGAGGAUCUUGCUCCGCUGACGUUUGCGGCAGACGGGUGAGUAACGCGUGGAUAACCUACCUGUAAGACUGGGAUAACUUGGGGAAUCCGGAGCUAAUACCGGAUAAUCUAUUGAACCGCGUGGUGCAAUGGUGAAAGACGGUUUUGCUGUAACGUCUCGAGGCUUCCGCGCCGCAUUGGCUGGUUGGUGAGUUAACGGGUUACCAAGGGGAGGAGGCGUAGCCGACCUGAGAGACGGAUAGCCGACCCGAGAGGGUAGACACGGACAAGACUACUACGGGACGCACCAGUAGGGAACCUUACGCAACAGGCGGAAGCAUGACGGAGCAGGGCGGCGUGAGAGAUGAAGGUCUUCGGAGCGUAAAAAUCUGUUAUGAGUGAAGAACAAAUGUGUAAGUAACUAUGCACGUCUUGACGGUACCUAAUCAGAAAGCAACGGCUAACUACGUG